UACGUAGGCAGCGAGCGUUGUUCGGAGUUACUGGGCGUAAAGGGUGUGUAGGCGGUUCUUUAAGUUUGGUGUGAAAUCUCCCGGCUCCACCGGGAGGGUGCGCCGAAUACUGAGGGACUAGAGUACGGGAGAGGAAAGUGGAAUUCCUGGUGUAGCGGUGAAAUGCGUAGAUAUCAGGAGGAACACCGGUGGUGUAGACGGCUUUCUGGACCGUAACUGACGCUGAGACACGAAAGCGUGGGUAGCAAACAGG
rnacentral:rRNA from 1 species